CCUACGGGAGACAGCAGUGGGGGAUAUUGCACAAUGGGGGGAACCCUGAUGCAGCGACGCCGCGUGGGUGAAGAAGCGCCUCGGCGCGUAAAGCCCUGUCAGCAGGGAAGAAAAUGACGGUACCUGACGAAGAAGCCCCGGCUAACUACGUGCCAGCAGCCGCGGUAAUACGUAGGGGGCAAGCGUUAUCCGGAUUUACUGGGUGUAAAGGGGGCGCAGACGGCGAGGCAAGCCGGGAGUGAAAGCCCGGGGCCCAACCCGGGGACUGCUCUGGAAACUGCGGAGCGGGAGUGCAGGAGGGGGAAGGGGAAGUCCGGGUGGAGGGGUGAAAGGAGUAGAUAUCAGGAGGAACAGCAGGGGCGAGGGCGGCUGAAUGGACUGUAACGGACGUGGAGGAGCGAAAGGGGGGGGAGAAAACAGGAGGAGAGACCCCAGUAGUC
rnacentral:rRNA from 1 species